AUUUUUAUGGUGUAUUCAACACUUAACAUUUUCAUUGUUACAUAGCCAUCGCUAAAAAUA
rnacentral:tRNA from 1 species